rnacentral:ncRNA from 1 species
GUGAGCCGCAUGCGGGGAGACCCGCACGUACGGUUUUUAGGGGGAUCUGGUCGAAGACCGGCCGGCGCCCACCCGAAUAGAGGGACCGAGAAAUUAAUAGAGUACAAAACUUAUCUUCAAGCUUUACCUCUUAACGGUUCCGAGAGCACUUGUGUAUGUGAUGCAAGGGAACGUGUACGAAAAAGCUGUCGUAAAGUUUCGUUGUUCUUUCCGUCGUCGACCCUAU